rnacentral:rRNA from 1 species
CGGGACGGGUGAGUAACGCGUGGGUAACCUGCCUUAUACAGGGGGAUAACAGUUAGAAAUGACUGCUAAUACCGCAUAAGCGCACAGGAUUGCAUGAUCUGGUGUGAAAAACUCCGGUGGUAUAAGAUGGACCCGCGUCUGAUUAGCUGGUUGGUGAGGUAACGGCCCACCAAGGCGACGAUCAGUAGCCGACCUGAGAGGGUGACCGGCCACAUUGGGACUGAGACACGGCCCAAACUCCUACGGGAGGCAGCAUG